GUGAGGAAUAUUGGUCAAUGGUCGCAAGACUGAACCAGCCAUGCCGCGUGCAGGAAGACGGUCCUAUGGAUUGUAAACUGCUUUUAUACAGGAAGAAACCCUCCCACGUGUGGGAGCUUGACGGUACUGUAGGAAUAAGGAUCGGCUAACUCCGUGCCAGCAGCCGCGGUAAUACGGAGGAUCCAAGCGUUAUCCGGAAUCAUUGGGUUUAAAGGGUCUGUAGGCGGUCUUAUAAGUCAGUGGUGAAAGCCCAUCGCUCAACGAUGGAACUGCCAUUGAUACUGUAAGACUUGAAUGCUUAGGAAGUAACUAGAAUAUGUAGUGUAGCGGUGAAAUGCUUAGAUAUUACAUGGAAUACCAAUUGCGAAGGCAGGUUACUACUAAGUGAUUGACGCUGAUGGACGAAAGCGUGGGGAGCGAACAGGAUUAGAAACCCGGGUAGUCC
rnacentral:rRNA from 1 species